UAAGACGAACCGUGCGAACGUUAUUCGGAAUCACUGGGCUUAAAGCGCGUGUAGGCGGGCCAUCACGUCGGUCGCUGAAAGCCCCCGGCUCAACCGGGGAAGGGGCGCCGAUACGAGUGGCCUGGAGGUAGGUAGGGGGAGCCGGAACUGCCGGUGGAGCGGUGAAAUGCGUUGAGAUCGGCAGGAACGCCCGUGGCGAAAGCGGGCUCCUGGACCUCACCUGACGCUGAGACGCGAAAGCCAGGGGAGCGAACGGGAUUAGAUACCCCGGUAGUCCUGGCCGUAAACACUGGGCACUGGGUAGGGGACUCGCCGAUGGGUUCCCUGCCGCAGCGAAAGCGUGAAGUGCCCCGCCUGGGGAGUAUGGUCGCAAGGCUG
rnacentral:rRNA from 1 species